GUCAGGGUGGUCGAGUAGUCUAAGGCGCCAGACUCAAGUUCUGGUCUUCGUAAGAUGGCGUGGGUUCAAGUCCCACUUCUGACA
rnacentral:tRNA from 1 species